UACGUAGGUGGCAAGCGUUGUCCGGAUUUAUUGGGCGUAAAGCGAGCGCAGGUGGUUUAUUAAGUCUGGUGUAAAAGGCAGUGGCUCAACCAUUGUAUGCAUUGGAAACUGGUAGACUUGAGUGCAGGAGAGGAGAGUGGAAUUCCAUGUGUAGCGGUGAAAUGCGUAGAUAUAUGGGGGAACACCGGUGGCGAAAGCGGCUCUCUGGCCUGUAACUGACACUGAGGCUCGAAAGCGUGGGGAGCAAACAGG
rnacentral:rRNA from 1 species